rnacentral:rRNA from 1 species
GAUGAACGCUGGCGGCGUGCCUAACACAUGCAAGUCGAGCGAUUCUCUUCGGAGAAGAGCGGCGGACGGGUGAGCAACGCGUGGGUAACCUGCCCUAUACACACGGAUAACAUACCGAAAGGUAUGCUAAUACGAGAUAAUAUAAGAGAUUCACAUGGAUUUCUUAUCAAAGCUGAGGCGGUAUAGGAUGGACCCGCGUCUGAUUAGCUAGUUGGUAAGGUAACGGCUUACCAAGGCGACGAUCAGUAGCCGACCUGAGAGGGUGAUCGGCCACAUUGGAACUGAGACACGGUCCAAACUCCUACGGGAGGCAGCAGUGGGGAAUAUUGCACAAUGGGCGAAAGCCUGAUGCAGCAACGCCGCGUGAGUGAUGAAGGCCUUCGGGUCGUAAAACUCUGUCCUCAAGGAAGAUAAUGACGGUACUUGAGGAGGAAGCCCCGGCUAACUACGUGCCAGCAGCCGCGGUAAUACGUAGGGGGCUAGCGUUAUCCGGAUUUACUGGGCGUAAAGGGUGCGUAGGUGGUCUCUUAAGUCAGGAGUGAAAGGCUACGGCUUAACCGUAGUAAGCUCUUGAAACUGGGAGACUUGAGUGCAGGAGAGGAAAGUGGAAUUCCUAGUGUAGCGGUGAAAUGCGUAGAUAUUAGGAGGAACACCAGUAGCGAAGGCGGCCCCCCUGGACGAAGACUGACGCUCAGGUGCGAAAGCGUGGGGAGCAAACAGGAUUAGAUACCCUGGUAGUCCACGCCGUAAACGAUGUCGACUUGGAGGUUGUGCCCUUGAGGCGUGGCUUCCGGAGCUAACGCGUUAAGUCGACCGCCUGGGGAGUACGGCCGCAAGGUUAAAACUCAAAUGAAUUGACGGGGGCCCGCACAAGCGGUGGAGCAUGUGGUUUAAUUCGAUGCAACGCGAAGAACCUUACCUGGUCUUGACAUCCACGGAAGUUUUCAGAGAUGAGAAUGUGCCUUCGGGAACCGUGAGACAGGUGCUGCAUGGCUGUCGUCAGCUCGUGUUGUGAAAUGUUGGGUUAAGUCCCGCAACGAGCGCAACCCUUAUCCUUUGUUGCCAGCGGUCCGGCCGGGAACUCAAAGGAGACUGCCAGUGAUAAACUGGAGGAAGGUGGGGAUGACGUCAAGUCAUCAUGGCCCUUACGACCAGGGCUACACACGUGCUACAAUGGCGCAUACAAAGAGAAGCGACCUCGCGAGAGCAAGCGGACCUCAUAAAGUGCGUCGUAGUCCGGAUUGGAGUCUGCAACUCGACUCCAUGAAGUCGGAAUCGCUAGUAAUCGUGGAUCAGAAUGCCACGGUGAAUACGUUCCCGGGCCUUGUACACACCGCCCGUCACACCACGAGAGUUUACAACACCCGAAGUCAGUGGCCUAACCGCAAGGAGGGAGCUGCCUAAGGUGGGGUAGAUGAUUGGGGUG